rnacentral:rRNA from 1 species
GACGAACGCUGGCGGCGUGCUUAACACAUGCAAGUCGAGCGAGAGCCAGCUGAGGGGUAACCCUCGGCUGGGGACAGCGGCGAACGGGUGCGUAACACGUGGGCAACCUGCCCCUGACACUGGGAUAACCCCGGGAAACCGGAGCUAAUACCGGAUACUCUCGGCCGAUCACAUGGCUGGCCGAGGAAAGGUCCGCCGGUCAGGGAUGGGCCCGCGGCCUAUCAGCUUGUUGGGGGGUAACGGCCUACCAAGGCGACGACGGGUAGCUGGUCUGAGAGGACGACCAGCCACACUGAAACUGAGAUACGGUCCAGACUCCUACGGGAGGCAGCAGUGGGGAAUAUUGCACAAUGGGCGAAAGCCUGAUGCAGCGACGCCGCGUGAGGGAUGAAGGCCU